UACGUAGGGGGCAAGCGUUGUCCGGAAUCAUUGGGCGUAAAGCGCGUGUAGGCGGCCAGAAAAGUCCGCUGUGAAAACUCGAGGCUCAACUUCGAGCUGUCGGUGGAAACUUUCUGGCUAGAGUCCGGAAGAGGGUCGUGGAAUUCCCAGUGUAGAGGUGAAAUUCGUAGAUAUUGGGAAGAACACCGGUGGCGAAGGCGGCGACCUGGUCCGAUACUGACGCUGAGGCGCGAAAGCGUGGGGAGCAAACAGG
rnacentral:rRNA from 1 species